rnacentral:rRNA from 1 species
UGAUCCAGCCAUGCCGCGUGCGGGAAGAAGGCCUUCGGUUGUAACCGCUUUGUCAGGGAAGAAAUCUCCUGAGCUAAGUACCUCGGGGGGAUGACGGUACCUGGAGAAUAAGCACCGGCUAACUACGUGCCAGCAGCCGCGGUAAUACGUAGGGUGCAAGCGUUAAUCGGAAUUACUGGGCGUAAAGCGUGCGCAGGCGGUUGUGCAAGACAGAUGUGAAAUCCCCGGGCUUAACCUGGGAACUGCAUUUGUGACUGCACGGCUAGAGUGCGGCAGAGGGGGGAUGGAAUUCCGCGUGUAGCAGUGAAAUGCGUAGAUAUGCGGAGGAACACCGAUGGCGAAGGCAAUCCCCUGGGCCUGCACUGACGCUCAUGCACGAAAGCGUGGGGAGCAAACAGGAUUAGAUACCCUGGUAGUCCACGCCCUAAACGAUGUCAACUGGUUGUUGGGAGGGGUUUCUUCUCAGUAACGUAGCUAACGCGUGAAGUUGACCGCCUGG